UACGUAGGGGGCAAGCGUUGUCCGGAUUUAUUGGGCGUAAAGAGCGUGUAGGCGGCCAUGUAGGUCCGGUGUGAAAACUCGAGGCUUAACCUCGAGAUGUCAUCGGAAACCAUUUGGCUAGAGUCCGGAAGAGGAGAGUGGAAUUCCUGGUGUAGCGGUGAAAUGCGCAGAUAUCAGGAGGAACACCAAUGGCGAAGGCAGCUCGCUGGGACGGUACUGACGCUGAGACGCGAAAGCGUGGGGAGCAAACAGG
rnacentral:rRNA from 1 species